rnacentral:tRNA from 2 species
CGGGGAGUAGUAUACCGGUAGUACGUACGCUUCGGGUGCGUAAAGACCGGGUUCGAUUCCCGGCUCCCCGACAA